AUUGAACGCUGGCGGCAGGCCUAACACAUGCAAGUCGAACGGUAACAGGAAACUGCUUGCUGUUUCGCUGACGAGAGGCGGAAGGGUGAGAAAUGUAUGGGAAACUGACUGAUGGAGGGGGAUAACUACUGGAAACGGUAGCUAAUACCGCCUAACGUCGCAAGACCAAAGAGGGGGACCUUCGGGCCUAUUGCCAUCGGAUGUGCCCAGAUGGGAUUAGCUAGUAGGUGGGGUAACGGCUCACCUAGGCGACGAUCCCUAGCUGGUCUGAGAGGAUGACCAGCCACACUGGAACUGAGACACGGCCCAGACUCCUACGGGAGGCAGCAGUGGGGAAUAUUGCACAAUGGGCGCAAGCCUGAUGCAGCCAUGCCGCGUGUAUGAAGAAGGCCUUCGGGUUGUAAAGUACUUUCAGCGGGGAGGAAGGGAGUAAAGUUAAUACCUUUACUCAUUGACGUUACCCGCAGAAGAAGCACCGGCUAACUCCGUG
rnacentral:rRNA from 1 species